UGGGGGAUAUUGCACAAUGGGCGAAAGCCUGAUGCAGCGACGCCGCGUGGGGGAUGAAGGCCUUCGGGUUGUAAACUUCUUUUGCUCUGAACAAGGCAUGCUAAUGGGUGUGUUGAGUGUAGGGGUUGAUUAGCGCCGGCUAACUACGUGCCAGCAGCCGCGGUAAUACGUAGGGCGCGAGCGUUGUCCGGAAUUAUUGGGCGUAAAGGGCUUGUAGGUGGCUGGUUGCGUCUGUCGUGAAAGCUCAUGGCUUAACUGUGGGUUUGCGGUGGGUACGGGCUGGCUUGAGUGCAGUAGGGGAGGCUGGAAUUCCUGGUGUAGCGGUGGAAUGCGCAGAUAUCAGGAGGAAGACCGGUGGCGAAGGCGGGUCUCUGGGCUGUUACUGACACUGAGGAGCGAAAGCAUGGGGAGCGAACAGG
rnacentral:rRNA from 1 species